GGAUAGCUCAGGGGUAGAGCAGCAGCCCAUGUGUGGGUUCGAAUCCCACUCCGACCA
rnacentral:tRNA from 1 species